ensembl:lncRNA
GAGAGCUAUAGAGGCCCUCCCUUGGAUGUUUGGUCCCUUGGAAUUAUCCUUUUUGAACUUCUCAUGGGGCCGCUCCCCUUUAAUUGGGAUACCCCACAGAUGAGAGCUAUUCUAUCUGGGAGGUGCUCUUGCCCCCAGUCCAUCUCCCGGGAUGCACAAGAUCUCAUCUGGAACCUCAUGCACUCCAACCCCAGGAUGUGGCCCACAGUGCAGGAGGUGCUGCAGCACCACUGGCUCCAAGGUGUCCCACCCCCCAGUCCUCCUGAGCUGCUCCCUAUGGCCCCCCAAAUGGCAAUCAACGUUAUGGAUGGCAUGGGAUUUAACCCACGGGAGGUCAGUCGACUCAGUGAGGACAAAGGAGAUGACCACAUUCCUGCUGCCGCAGAGCCAGGGACUCCAGGGGCCACCCUUAAGGGUCCAUGUGAAGACUGCGUGGGCACCUGAGGAUGAGGAUCCAGAUGAAAUAGCAUCAUCCUCAACAGCUCCUGCACCCUCAUCUCUCAUCCCCUGGAGGAGUGCCAGCUCACCUGUCACCUGCACGGGCCUCUUAUUUCCUGGGGUGGAGCCCACAGGAAGGCAGGGCGGCGGAAGCUCCCAGUCACCCAUUCCCAUCCCCAGGACCCCAACUCCUGGCAUGCUCUGCCAGCCUAUCCCUGCCGCUCCCAGGGUGUUCUGCCAGCCUGGCCCUGGGGCUUCCUGCUCUAGGUCCAGCCCUACCUUCACCCCUAGCAGCAGAGGGAGGCUAUGCUGGAAGGCUCUGAAGAGGAGCAUCAGAGGCUGCCUGACAGCCCUGUGCUGCUGCUGCCUGCCACCCUCAGGGCGCCACCAAAACAAGGUGGCCCAAAUAUGUCUGCUGGGGGUCCUGCUUUCAGAUGGUCUCGAUGUAUCCAGGCAGAAUGUCCAGCCACCUUCACCGCCAAGGGAGUUGACAGGACAACAGGAACCAGUCCCUUCUAACGAGGUUCCAGGGUCUUGGAAUCAAACCUGCGAAUAAAAACCAAAUCUCCCGGCCUAUAGGGAACCUGGAGUCGGGAGGCUUACCGGCCCAUCAGCCACCUCACUCCUGACAACAAACGGUUGCAACCGGCCAAAAAUUUACCUCCAGAGGUUUUCUGAGGUCUGUGCCUGAGAGUCUCCUGCUGGAUCCUGCCAGAGUCUCGGCUGAACCGGGGUUCCUUACCCAGGGAUCUCGCUGGGGCCUCCAAAAUGUAAGACCUCUGUCCUUACCAAAAGCUCUGAGGAGCUGACUAUAGUGAAGCACACCCAGGGAUCCCAGCGGUGCCUCCAGAAUGUAAGACCAAGGGCCUUACCAAAUGCUCCAAGGAGCUGAAGUGGAGCACACCCGGGGUUCCCAGCGGUGCCUCCAGAAUGUAAGACCAAAGGCCUUACCAAAUGCUCCAAGGAGCCGGAGUGGAGCACACUUGGGGGUCCCAGCGGUGCCUCCAGAAUGUAAGACCAAAGGCCUUACCAAAUGAUCCAAGGAGCUGACUGCAGUGGAGAACACCCAGGAAGGAACACACCGGACAAAUUGGAAAGUGAAACAGACCUUAGUCUGGCCAGAGGGCACUCCCAAAGCAAAGUAGCUUAGAGAGGCCUAGUCCAGAGUCCGAGGCUCUUUUUAUAGGGGCUUGCAGGAGAGUUAACAGGUGAAGUUUACAGAAGAAGGAACAAAAGUUCAGUGGUCUUACAUUUGUAUGUUAAUUAGCAAGACAUGUACUGUUAGUCAGCAGAUGCUUUGUAGAUUGUUCUAUAGAUAGUGGUGUCCGGAACAAAGGGUGGGAUAACUAGGACUGAUAGGGAUCUUUAAACUUUACAGAGGGUACAAUGUGGGCCACAGCCCUGACCAUCCAAUAAGGUUACAAGUGCAGUCGCUUAGCCAAUGGUGUCCAAUAGGGAGAUAAGUCACGUAACAAGCGUGGAUGGAAAGACAAAGAUUCUCCUAGGAAGUGCUGGGUCCAGAGGUCUCUGGUCACCCACCAGGGUGGCCGAUGUCUGUCUCAGCUUCACUAGGCCCAGUGCUUGCUCUUUGACCAAGUAUGCAGGUUGGGUCAGCUUGUCUUUAUCCUGAGGCCCACGUUCCAACCGAUGUGUCUCCCUCUGGUGCAGCUGUGGUGUUUCAGAUAGGGCCUGGCCUAUCUGACCACCUCUAAUAUCCCUGCCUGACUCAUCGGUCUAUAAUCCCAGCACUUGGGAGAGGCAGGAGGAUCCCCAUGAGUUCCAGGCCACCUGAACUACAUAGCGAGACCCUGUCUCAGAAAACAAAACAAAACACAAAUCAGCCAUAUUUAAAAGCAGUCCUUUUUAAAAUUCCUGUUUACUUAUUGAUGUGUUGGGAUGUUGGGAGCAAUGCUACAUAAUUCUAGGGAGAAAUCAUUUGGUUAGCCUAGUUCUCUUGCCUACAGCCCAGCUACAGAAUAACUCCAGUUUGGCCUCCGGUCACAACUGAGACUUCAGUGAUCCAGUGAUGCUGUGAUUCUCCAGGACAAGAAACAUCCUAGGAGAACAAACAUCUGCUCAGUUCCUCAUUGUUCUUGAACUGUUAACAUCUUGUUUACCCGAGAUGUACUGAACUCUCUGCAAGCCUUUUGUUACACCUUGUUCGUCCCAAUGUGAACUACUGAACUCUCUGCAAGUCAUUUGUUACAUUUGUUUCUCCCGAUGUACUGAAUUCUCUGCAAGUCAUUUGUUACGAGGUACUGAAUAAAAGGUGCGGUAAGCUGGGGGCUAUUGUCUUUGCUGCCCAGAGCAGCACGGAUCAGACCCAGAGCUCAGCUUCUUCUCAGUCUCAUUUUUCUACCUUUCCUGUAAUUCGCUGUGUGCUGCCUUGGCUCGCAGGAGACUAGGACUUACUGCAGAGGUUCUGGUAACGUCCCCUUCCCCUGUUCCCUACACUAUACAGCAACAAAAAUGGAAGAGCAACCUGCACGGAUGGACCUUACAAACAUGAUAUUGAGUAAAAUUUUAUUUACAUAAAGUUCUCCAACAGACAAAACCAAGACUGUCUUAGCAUUCCUACAAAGAAAAGCUACAAGGGAAACACCUGCAAGUACAGAAAAGAAUGCAAUUGAUCUGGGUAUGGUGGCACACUCCUGUAAUCCCAGCACUCUGGGAGGCUGAGGCAGGAGAAUUGCAAAUUCAAACCCAACCUGGACAACUGAGUGACUUGGCAAGACCAUGUCUCAAAACAAAAAAAUAAAAAGGUUCAAUCCCCAGAACUCGGGGAUGGGGGGGGGAGCAAGAGGGAGAGGAAGAGAGAGGGAAGAAAAGAGG